AGUCAUAUUUUUGGUUUUUUUUUCACAAUUUACAUUUUGUUUUCGUACAAAAAAAACCACAGAAAAUAACGUUUGAAAUAAAAGAGAAAAAAAUAGAGAAAUUUAUUAUAAGAUUAUUUUGUUCUAUCGGCUGAAAUAUCACGAUUUUUGUUCUUAUAUAUUCUUAUUAUGUUUAUUAUAUUAACUAAUUAACUUAGAAAAAAUGGUGCAUUAUAAUGAAACUUAAAAUAUAAAUAAAAAUAAUAUAAGUCAUAGAUUAGAGAAAUAUUUUUUAACAUUUUUUUUUCGUUUCAGUUCAUGAGGAUGAUUAUCUAUUUGUUUUACCAAUUAAUAUUCAUAUUUUUAAAUUUACAAGAUUUUAUUUUAUUUUUUUAUUUCUUUAUAAUUUAAUUUAUUUAGGAAAUAGAUUUUUUCAAACUUCCUCAUGAACUUACAUUUAAAUAUUUCUCUAAUCACUUUACAACAAAUAAAAUUUUAUGUUUCUCACAUGACAAGCAGGCAUUUCAUGCAAUUUCAUCAGGAUAAAUAAAAAACCACUCAAAAAUAAUUUCUUUUAAAAUCAAAAUUAAAGAAAAAAAAACAGAGGAAAAUAUCGAGAGCAUUCCAACAUAAAAGUAUCAUUAUAUAUUGUAUGGAUUAUACAAUUUUGAUUUUUCCGUACUUCUCUUUUCGAGAAAGAAAAUCAAUUUCUUAAAAAAAUAUGAAAAAAUAAAACACAAAAAAUAUUUUUCUUGUCAACAGAGAAGACCAAAAAUUAAAAAUUUGAAAAGAAAACUUCCAAAAAACUUAAAAGUAAAAACUUGUGGAUUAAGGAUUUUGUGAUUGAGGAGAUUGACGUCAACAAAAAUUCAUCUCUCGCCACUUUUUUUUUGGUUAUUAUUUACACAAAAACCAAAGUUUAAAAUUAGAAAAUAAAUACCGCCAUUUUUUUCUUUCCUUAAAUUCUUUCAUCGCAUUGUUUUCCAUUUCGUUUUUCCACAAAAAAACCAUCGCGAAAAAUUUCGUUCUUUGCCCCAAACACGUUUAGGAAAAUGUCACUUCUAACCAACACUUAAAAAUCAUUUUGUAUUGGUUUUCUUUGUAUUUUUUGAGUUUUCUUUUUUUUUUUGUUUAUUUGGGGUUGAACUUAUUGGAGAAAAAAAUGAGAGCCAAUAUCAAAAAUAAAAUUCAUUAAAUUCUGUCAAAAUUAUUGAAAAAGAAAAAUUUCUUUUAAACCGUUUUAAGGUUUCUUUUUCCUCUGUUUGUUGGUACUUUCUUUUAAAGGUUUUGAUGAAAAAUUUGCAUAAAACACACUGUCUUAAUUCAAAGUUGGUUUGUCUUUUCUUUUCUUGUUAAAUUCACUGAAGACAUCAAUGAGGAAUAAAGUCAAAAAAUAAAAUAUUAAAAUUCCCUUUAUCGGGCAUUUUUUGGGAUAAAAUAUUCUUUGGUUUCUUAGAACCUUUGAGGGUGGUAAAAUUCUCUCAUUGAAGUUCUUCAGUAUUUUGUUUCUUUCAAAGGGUGUAGGUUCUGACUUGGAAAAAAUUGGGGUUUAAAAUCAGAGGGAUGAACCGUGAGACCAACUCCCUGAAAAUGGCCAAAAAAUGUGUCAAAAAAAAAUUCCACAGACCUAAAGUAAGAGGAUUUGUUAAAGUCAAACCCAAGGAUGGUCGUGAUGUUGUUUUUAGCACCAAACGUCGCAACUGGCCUCCAAAAAAUACCUAAGAAAAGUGAUAAAAAAAAUUCGGCGCCACAGUGUACGCCCAAAAAAACCCCGGAAAACCUUCGACAAAAAUAACGAUGUGGUCACAAAUGUGAUUGACCCAAAAAUCACCCCAUUUAUCCGCCCCUUUGUCAAUUCGAAUUCCAACGAUUUUUCCUUUUUUUUUCAAACUAAUUCCCGCGCUUUUUUGUGCAAAUUUCAUCACACGCGUAAAAAAAGAUUUCUCUCUGUUGUCCUUUGCAACCAAAUCGCAAUUUUUAUCAAAUUUCUUCCGCAAUUUGUGAAAAAAAUUCAAGCAUUUCAAGUUUCUUAUAAAAUUAUUUCAUAUAGUGGUUAUUUGAAAAAAAAAUAGUAGAGAUUAUUUCACUUCUUCUCACUCUCGCAAAAAAAGAAACAAAAUCAACAUGAGCAGAAAAUCACGUCAUUGCUUCAUGUGUGAUGCUUUGAGCAAUCAAAAAUCCAUUUUUGCUCAUUCUUUUUGGCGAUAUUUCUACAAAAAAAAAACAAACAGAUUUCUUUUGAAAAAUAAAAAGAAUUUUUUAAUCACACUUUUGCAUGACUUUGAGCUUAUUUUUUUGUAAAGUGAAGAAUAUUUUGCAAGGAUGUGCUGUUGAAAAGAAAUAAACAAGAACUAUAUUUUUAUCUGUAAGAAACACAACAAUACAGUAACGGUGCUCUUAAAUUAAAUAUAAAAACAAUUUUUAUACCAUUUUCUUUUUAAACGCCUUAACUUCGCGGAAUUUUCGUAUUUUUCUUUCUUUUUUUUUUAAUUUUAUCUUUCAUGUUGAAAUACAUUUGAAACUUUUGCAAAUUUCAUUGAAAUUUUCAAAGGAAAUAAAUGAAAAACAAAUCUGGAAUUUCAGCAAAAAUAUUCCCAGUAAAAAACAAAGAAAACUAAUUUUAAAUAUUGAAAAGAAAAUAAAUGAAAAAUUAGAAGAUAAAAUUGUGUUUUUAAUGCACUUUUCUUGCAUUUCUUUCAUCAUGAUUCUUGUCCUAAUUUUUUUUAAUGAUUCUAUGAUUUCUGUCUUGAAAUUGAUUUUGUUUUUUUGAAAUUGUAUCAUAUAAAUAUAUUGUUUUGCAACUUAAAAUAAUUGUGCUGUAAGGAAGAAGAAGCAGACUAAAGAAUAUUAUAUUUUUCUGUGUUUUGAAGCUUCUUUUUUUUUGCUGUGUGGAUUUUAAUUGUUUAAUUCUUGGAUUUUAUUAAUAAUUUCUUUUCAAAAUGUUUUUAAAAAAAAAUCCAGAUAGCAAAAAAUGUUUUCUUAUUUGCUUCGAAUAUUUGUUUUAUAAUCUAGAAAAAAAAUCUAAGAAAGGCAAAUUGAUUUUUUUAGUUCUUUAGAACAGUUUUUUUUUCUUAAUUUUUUUUAUCUUUUAAUAAUAUAAUUUAAUUCUCAACUAACUUCAUAUUCUCAACCAUUAAAAAAAACGUUGGGUUAGGAUACCUUGAUGGUCAUAAAAAUAAAACAAAAAAGCUUUAAUUUUUAAACAACAAAAUAAUAUUUAAGUUUUUUUUAUAUCUACGUGAAGUUUUCCAUCAAACAUUCCUGUCAUAAAUUUUCUAUUUACGUUUUUUAUUCUAAAUCUUUUUUUUUUAUUUAAAUUUUCUGUUUGAGUUUGUCUUCUUAAUAAUUUUAAUAAAAGAAAAUUCAAUCUAGUUCUUUUAAUUCAAUAUUCUAUCGAAGAUUUUCUUUCCUUUUUCCUUCCUUCCAACUCUUUUUCUGCUCUAUUUUUAUGACCAUUAUCGUAUCCUACCUCAUUUUUCUAAAUCAGCAAGAUCGUUAAUUCUAUUAAUAUAUUUUUUUACUUUAAGAAGCAAUCACAUAAAAUUAUUUUAUUGUUCUUUUAGCAAAUUUCUCAUUUAACAUUAAUCAAUUAACCGAUAAAAAUCAUAUCAAAUUGCCUUUCUUCAUUCAAAAGAUAUAAAAAUAAUAAAUUCAUUAAUUAAAAAAAAAAGAAGAAGAAUCAAACCAUUUUCCUCUCUCAAAUUUCACAUGAUGGAGAAACUCUCAUUUCAUUCUUAUAGGAGAAAUUCCUCCCACUUAAUUUCUAUUGAUGUGAAAUAAAAUAUAUUUUUAUGUAAAAUGUAUUUUUAAAGUUAUUGCUCUUUUUUAUAUGUUUCAUAUAUAAUUUCUGCGGCAGCCAUUUGUUGAAUGUUGAUUGCCUAUAAAUUAAUCCCUAAAAUGGUUCAUCAGAAAUCCAAACUUUUUUAAACUCUUUCACUUGAAAUUCUCAAAUUAAAUAAAAACAACAAAGAAAAACUACACGAAACUUUUUCUUCUCUCUUGUCAUAACGCAUAACUUAUUAGUUAGUGUUUUAUAAAUAUUAAUAGCAAUAAAAUAAAAUAUUUGUGUUUACACAGAGACGAGAGAAUAAUAUGCUUAUGAUGGGGAGAGAGAAAAGAAAAAGAAAUCCACAGACAUUGUCAACAUUCACGCCAUCAGCCGCACAUAAACAUUCAAUCUCAAUUGCUCAAAACGAGUUGAAAAAAAAAUCAAGAAAACAUCGCGAGUCUCUUCUCCAAACAUCUCCUUUCAUCUUCUUCCUAUAUUCGUUUGAGUCGCGAGCAUUUUUUCUUUUCGAGUUCAUGCUCUUUGCGCCCAAGACGAAUAUGGGGAAGACACUCAGAGAUGAGCAAUAAGAACAAGUUGCGGGGGAACGGGGUGGUUAAACUAAAUGCAAUUUAGAUGGUUAAAUAAACGUAUUCUUGUGGAUGGAUGAAAAUCUACUCACGUCGAGUGGUUUCUUGAGGACAAUCCAUCCAGAUUCGGGUUGUAUUUCGAAAUAAGCCAAAUCAGCCGGAUUGUACGGUGCACUGAGGCUGUACACGAUGGCCCCAUUGUUGUCAGCAUCCUCAUCCGAGGCGGAAACUCUCAAAAUAUUCGUCCCAAUGCUCGCAUCUUGUUUCACAUUCUCCACGUAUUUCUACGGGGGCCACACAGGGUGGUGGGAGAGAGAGAGACACAGCAUUAGAAUUGAAAAUUUGAAUAUUCAAUGGGGUUGUUUUCUUGUUGAGAAAAUACACAACUCGACAACUUUUAAGGUGAUCAUUGAUGGCACACUCGCAAUGGAAUUCCCAAACUCUCAGAUGGCUCAAUUGGGUCAUUUGCAUGUCAAUCGGUUAACACAAAAUUCAAUCACUUCAACAACGCAAAGAGAUUCUCUUUCAACUUUAUCUCUAAACAAUUGUCUUGAAGAUGUUUUUUUUUUUGAAAAUAAACUUUAAGAGGUUUUUUUUGUAUAUUGAGAAACUCUUUAGAACAUAAACGCUCUUUUUGUGUGGAGUACAGAGAACAUUUUGAUUUGGAAAGCUAUUUAAUGUUCUUUAAUAGAAUUCUGAGAAGAAAGAAUUCUUAAAAAAGAGAGAUGAAAAUGUUUUAAAUAUUUGCGAGAAAAGAGAAUAGAGAAUUCUCUUUAAAAUUAGAUAAUAUAUUUCUAAGAAUUUCUUUGAGUUUUCUUUUGAGAAGAAAAUUUUAAAUUAAUAAAUAAUAAUUUUGAAAUAUUUUUUAAUUGUCUUCCAGAGCGUGAAUUCUCUAAAAGUGAAAAA